GGUCCAGGGCUGCGCACCCGCGUUAGCCCCCCAGGUCGCGACGAUACAGUCGGCAUUCCGCAUUGGUCGCAGCGCAAAUAUUAGUGGAGCAAGUGUCACUGGAUAUCAAUAGGAUAUGCAGGGUUCCGCUGAAACCCCGACAGAAAUUCCUCUUGCUGCUGCAACUUUAUCUGCCGAGACAUUUUUAUAGUCUCGUACAGGUACUGCCGUCAAGAGGAAUUCUCAAGAGGCUAGACACGGCCUUCCGCGUGGGGGCUAGAAAAAUAUCACAUCUCCCCGAAACUACUUCCUCUUCCUUCUUUUACUGCAGCCGGCGUGAUGGCGGGUCAAGUCUUCACCAAAUGGUAAGACUGAUACCAAACUGCGUCAUCCGCCGAAAUCUUCGCCUGCUGACCUCGAGGUAUGUCUCAGUUAGGAAAGUUGCUGAUUCUGCAGGAUUAGCCGAACAGAACCAGCAACUGAUAGUUUCCUUCAAUUUGCCGUUGUUACCUGAGGGCGCGACCGAAUACGACCCUGAUAUCCGGCUGAUUCACACCCAUAGAUGGGCGGCUCAGCCGGUGCAUGGUGUGUGUGCGGCGGCGUACCGGGGAGAUGCAAUCGGCAAUAGUUGGAUCAGUAGGCCGGGUAGGAUCGCUGAGGGGUGCUACUCGGGAUUACUCAAGAUGAACUCCAACGUAUAUCCUACCCGUGAAACUCUGACGCGUGGGCCCCGAGGGGACUCCACGUGUCCAAGAUGUAGAGUAGGGGCAGAGACUAUUUCCCAUAUCAGUGGAGUUUGUGGUGCUCUUAAAGGACCACGGCUCGCCAGACAUAACAAAAUAUGUAGCCUGGUGGCGAAAGAGGCUGUAGGUCAUGGUUGGAGUGUCAGUGUAGAGGCUUCUUACAUUGUAGGAGGUUCCAGGCUGAUACCCGACCUUGUAUUUAGCUGUCCGGAGAAGGUAGUAGUCAUCGACGUGACUGUCCGAUUGGAGCAGGGAGAUGCCUUGAGGUAGGCAUCUCUUGAGAAAGUGCAUAAAUACCGACCACUCAUUCAAUUGCUUUUGCAGAAGUUUGAUCGGCCGGUAGAAGUGCAUGGACUCACAAUCGGUGCCUGGUGCUGACCUGCAAGUGUGGCACUGGACGCCUUGGGCAUCCGUGACAGAUCAUUUCGGCGACUACUCAGCCGGACAGCUAUGUUAUCUACGUACAAUAUGCUGAGAGACUAACUCUCAGCAUGGGAUUCCUUAAAAUAGGACCCAGUCAACGACCUAGGAAAAUAACCUGUUAGAGACCUAAAACUUAAAAUAGUGACAAAAGAAAAAAAAAAAGAAAACACCGGCUAAGACAAUAAGCGACCCGUUUGCAAGUGACAGUAAUAUACAUGUUAUUUUAGUUGUUUUUAUUGUUUUACAGAAAGUGGUGUCGCCCCGGCUAUGAGAUGGGCUUUUCGUCAAAGUGUGCGACACCAAGGCAAUGACACCAGUGGGACCACCCACAGAAAAUAAAGGGAAACCAGAUAGAUGAAGAUGUCUACAAGAAGAAAUAGCCAAAUGCCUCGUCAUCAAGUUAGUGAUGCGCAUGAACGGAUCAACGAGAUUCCCACUGUCCCUAUCUACUGUCUAGCGAAACAACAGCCAAGGGAACGGGCUUGGACGGAUCGGAGGGGAAAGAAGACCCUGUUGAGCUUGACUCUAGUCCAGUUUUGUGAGGGCACACGGUAGGCGUAGCAUAGAAUCCUCCCCCUGUGUGAACGUUACAUUCUGUGGACCAAUGAGAUCAUUAAUAGAAUUUCUGAAAGACUCUCAAGAUACCUACAUGCAUAUAAAUGUACUUUCGCACAAUGCAGUGGGGUGAAUUUGAGCAACUGUUAACAUUAUUUACUUUAAGGUAUGGAUGAAUUAAGUUAAGCUUUAACCACCUUAUUUUUAUAAACACCAAGUAGAUAUUUAACUUGCUAUGUGAACGUACGUGCACCAAAUCACACGUGUGCGUAUUCUUACAUCUUUGUGGAUGCUUGUAUGAGCGAGUGUACAUGCACCAUACAACCUACGCGAGGGCGUUUAUACAUCUACAUCCAUAUCUGUUAAUGGUUAUGUUUAAUACUUUUCUCGCUGCAUUGUGUUCGUUUCUUUUUUUUUUUUUGCAUAUUAUAUUAUUGAUUUUCUAUAUAAAUAGAGCUAUAUCCUUUAAUUUGCUGCUUUUCUUUUCACGAAAUGAGAAGAUACAUUGUAGAACUGUUAUUUUAACGAGUUAUAUCUAUUCGUCACCUGAAGAGU
rnacentral:ncRNA from 1 species